GGGCCUAAAAUGAACACCAACCACCAGCCCAAAUGCGGGUCGAUUUUUGGAGUUGACGGAUAAGAAUGUAGAAUUCACCAGCCUUGUUGGCAGGUGCUCACCCUCAGGGGGAUAUACAGUGGAGUUGACGGAUAAGAAUGUAGAAUUCACCAGCCUUGUUGGCAGGUGCUCACGCUCAGGGGGAUAUACAGUGGAGUUGACGGAUAAGAAUGUAGAAUUCACCAGCCUUGUUGGCAGGUGCUCACACACAUGGGGAUAUACAGUGGAGUUGACGGAUAAGAAUGUAGAAUUCACCAGCCUUGUUGGCAGGUGCUCACGCUCAGGGGGAUAUACAGUGGAGUUGACGGAUAAGAAUGUAGAAUUCACCAGCCUUGUUGGCAGGUGCUCACACACAUGGGGAUAUACAGUGGAGUUGACUGAUAAGAAUGUAGAAUUCACCAGCCUUGUUGGCAGGUGCUCACACUCAGGGGGAUAUACAGUGGAGUUGACGGAUAAGAAUGUAGAAUUCACCAGCCUUGUUGGCAGGUGCUCACACACAUGGGGAUAUACAGUGGAGUUGACGGAUAAGAAUGUAGAAUUCACCAGCCUUGUUGGCAGGUGCUCACGCUCAGGGGGAUAUACAGUGGAGUUGACGGAUAAGAAUGUAGAAUUCACCAGCCUUGUUGGCAGGUGCUCACGCUCAGGGGAUAUACAGUGGAGUUGACGGAUAAGAAUGUAGAAUUCACCAGCCUUGUUGGCAGGUGCUCACGCUCAGGGGAUAUACAGUGGAGUUGACGGAUAAGAAUGUAGAAUUCACCAGCCUUGUUGGCAGGUGCUCACGCUCAGGGGGAUAUACAGUGGAGUUGACGGAUAAGAAUGUAGAAUUCACCAGCCUUGUUGGCAGGUGCUCACACACAUGGGGAUAUACAGUGGAGUUGACGGAUAAGAAUGUAGAAUUCACCAGCCUUGUUGGCAGGUGCUCACACACAUGGGGAUAUACAGUGGAGUUGACGGAUAAGAAUGUAGAAUUCACCAGCCUUGUUGGCAGGUGCUCACGCUCAGGGGGAUAUACAGUGGAGUUGACGGAUAAGAAUGUAGAAUUCACCAGCCUUGUUGGCAGGUGCUCACACACAUGGGGAUAUACAGUGGAGUUGACGGAUAAGAAUGUAGAAUUCACCAGCCUUGUUGGCAGGUGCUCACACACAUGGGGAUAUACAGUGGAGUUGACGGAUAAGAAUGUAGAAUUCACCAGCCUUGUUGGCAGGUGCUCACACACAUGGGGAUAUACAGUGGAGUUGACGGAUAAGAAUGUAGAAUUCACCAGCCUUGUUGGCAGGUGCUCACACACAUGGGGAUAUACAGUGGAGUUGACGGAUAAGAAUGUAGAAUUCACCAGCCUUGUUGGCAGGUGCUCACGCUCAGGGGGAUAUACAGUGGAGUUGACGGAUAAGAAUGUAGAAUUCACCAGCCUUGUUGGCAGGUGCUCACACACAUGGGGAUAUACAGUGGAGUUGACGGAUAAGAAUGUAGAAUUCACCAGCCUUGUUGGCAGGUGCUCACACACAUGGGGAUAUACAGUGGAGUUGACGGAUAAGAAUGUAGAAUUCACCAGCCUUGUUGGCAGGUGCUCACACACAUGGGGAUAUACAGUGGAGUUGACGGAUAAGAAUGUAGAAUUCACCAGCCUUGUUGGCAGGUGCUCACACACAUGGGGAUAUACAGUGGAGUUGACGGAUAAGAAUGUAGAAUUCACCAGCCUUGUUGGCAGGUGCUCACACACAUGGGGAUAUACAGUGGAGUUGACGGAUAAGAAUGUAGAAUUCACCAGCCUUGUUGGCAGGUGCUCACGCUCAGGGGGAUAUACAGUGGAGUUGACGGAUAAGAAUGUAGAAUUCACCAGCCUUGUUGGCAGGUGCUCACGCUCAGGGGGAUAUACAGUGGAGUUGACGGAUAAGAAUGUAGAAUUCACCAGCCUUGUUGGCAGGUGCUCACACACAUGGGGAUAUACAGUGGAGUUGACGGAUAAGAAUGUAGAAUUCACCAACCUUGUUGGCAGGUGCUCACACACAUGGGGAUAUACAGUGGAGUUGACGGAUAAGAAUGUAGAAUUCACCAGCCUUGUUGGCAGGUGCUCACGCUCAGGGGGAUAUACAGUGGAGUUGACGGAUAAGAAUGUAGAAUUCACCAGCCUUGUUGGCAGGUUCUCACGCUCAGGGGGAUAUACAGUGGAGUUGACGGAUAAGAAUGUAGAAUUCACCAGCCUUGUUGGCAGGUGCUCACACACAUGGGGAUAUACAGUGGAGUUGACGGAUAAGAAUGUAGAAUUCACCAGCCUUGUUGGCAGGUGCUCACGCUCAGGGGGAUAUACAGUGGAGUUGACGGAUAAGAAUGUAGAAUUCACCAGCCUUGUUGGCAGGUGCUCACGCUCAGGGGGAUAUACAGUGGAGUUGACGGAUAAGAAUGUAGAAUUCACCAGCCUUGUUGGCAGGUGCUCAGUUGGCAGCAGCUCAUAAAAAUAGUCAAGUAUGGCAAGAAGCCCAAACAGAUUUAACAUUUGACUAAAUCACCUCAACUUGCUUACGUUUGCAUACAAUCACAUAUCUGUAACGCGUCGGAAAACAUUGGAACAAAAUGAAAGUCACUUGGAGAUGUUUUCUUGGUGUUUUUACAGUCUUAUGUACCAAGUCAAUAAUUAUUCUGAAAACUUGGUGGGGGGUAAAUAAAAUCACCAGCAGUUGGAGCUAUCUGGUAUUUGAUUUGAAUUAUUUAUUAGUAUCUCCAUUCGCCAAUGGCGACGGCUCGUCUUACUGGGGUCCGACACAUAACGAAAAAUACAUUACAGACAAACUUUACAAUGUACAUACACUGCCGUUCAAAAGUUUGGGGUCACUUAGAAAUGUCCUUGUUUUUGAAAGAAAGACCAAAAUAAAUCCCAUUACGAUA